rnacentral:rRNA from 1 species
ACGGGUGAGUAACGCGUAAGUAAUCUACCCCGGCAUCUGGAAUAACUCACCGAAAGGUGUGCUAAUACCGGAUACGUUGGUAACAAGAAAGGUGGCCUCUGCAUAUGCUACCGUGCUGGGAUGAGCUUGCGUACCAUUAGCUAGUUGGUAGGGUAAUGGCCUACCAAGGCGACGAUGGUUAGCGGGUCUGAGAGGAUGAUCCGCCACACUGGAACUGGAACACGGACCAGACUCCUACGGGAGGCAGCAGUGAGGAAUAUUGCGCAAUGGGGGAAACCCUGACGCAGCGACGCCGCGUGGAUGAUGAAGGCCUUCGGGUCGUAAAAUCCUGUCAGGUGGAAAGAAGUGCAUGGUGGCUAAUAUCCACUAUGUUUGACGGUACCACCGAAGGAAGCACCGGCUAACUCCGUGCCAGCAGCCGCGGUAAUACGGAGGGUGCAAGCGUUGUUCGGAAUUACUGGGCGUAAAGCGCGCGUAGGCGGUUUGUUAAGUCAGAUGUGAAAGCCCUCGGCUCAACCGGGGACGUGCAUUUGAAACUGGCAGACUUGAGUACUGGAGGGGGUGGUGGAAUUCCCGGU